CCUACGGGUGGCUGCAGUGGGGAAUCUUGCACAAUGGGCGAAAGCCUGAUGCAGCGACGCUGCGUGAGGGAAGAAGGCUUUCGGGUUGUAAACCUCUUUCAGAAGGGACGCGGUACCUUCAGAAGAAGCCCCGGCUAACUACGUGCCAGCAGCCGCGGUAAUACGUAGGGGGCAAGCGUUGUCCGGAUUUAUUGGGCGUAAAGAGCGUGUAGGCGGCUAGGUAGUCCGGUGUGAAAACUCGAGGCUCAACCUCGAGACGGCGAUGGAAACCAUCUGGCUAGAGUCCGGAAGAGGAGAGUGGAAUUCCUGGUGUAGCGGUGAAAUGCGCAGAUAUCAGGAAGAACACCCGUGGCUAAGGCGGCUCUCUAGUACGGACUGACGCUGAGACGCGAAAGCGUGGGGAGCGAACAGGAUUAGAUACCCUUGUAGUC
rnacentral:rRNA from 1 species